AAGUUGCCGCAGACUUGGCAGGCCGGGAGAGAGUCUUUCUCACCUCUUGCAGCUUCUGGUGGUUCCAGGCUUCCUCAGUGUGUGGCGACGCCACUCCAGUCUCGGCCUCUGUGUGUAUAUGGAUAUUUCCUUCGUGCCUGUGUCUUUUCCUCUUCUCUGGGUGUCCAAAUCUCCUCUGCCUUUUUCUUAUGUAAGGACACUUGUCAUUGGGUUUAGUUAGGGUUCUCCCAGAGAAUCCAGGAGGAUCCUGAGAUCCUCACAUUGAUUACGUCUGCAAAGACCUUUUCCAAAAUGACAUCAUAUUCACAAAUUCCAGGAGUUAGGAUGUGGACCACCAGUGGUGGGUGGCCGCCAUUCAAUCCACUACAGUCUUCUUGCAUGACAUUCUCUUCCUUGCCUUGAGCAUCCUAUAGCGCUUUUAGUGUUCUCUGCAUUAGUAGGCUGACUUUGGUUCAAAUUCAGUCGAGCCACCAGCUGGCUGAGUGACCUUAGGUGUGUUACUUAACUUCUCUCUGCCCAAGUUGCCUAACCAAGUGGGAAGUGUAAACAUGCAUUUGACAAGUUUGUUGUGAAGAGGAGAUGGGGCCUCCAAUGUAAAGCUAUUAGCACAGCUCGAAACAUGUGGGAGAGAUGAUCUCAUUGUGGUUAGCAUCUGCGGUUAAGAUUUCAGCUUUUCAAUGUGUGUGUUUACAAGGAAGCAUUUAUCUUGGUCCUUCUGCCUUCAUUUUUCCAGUGCCAAGGUAGGCGUUGGAGGCAUGCUCUGAUCUUGGAGCACUGGCUUUGCUUUGGAAGCCUUGCAGCUAACUGGCAGACAAUUGGUAACUCACUAUUUUAAGUUUUAGGACACUUACAGGAGGUCCGAGUUAUGUUAAUUUCAAGGUCCUCUGACAGGCUUAUCUUCAGAUUUUCUUUUCUUUUCUUUCUUUGUUUGUUUCUUUCUUUCUUUCUUUCUUUUUUUUUUUUUGCAAGUAGAGUUUGGCAUUUACUCAAAGAUUCAAAAAGAAGCCGUGUAGGGAGAUAUCUUGCUUAACAUCUUUCUGUCAUUUAACACCACUUGUACCCCACAGGGAGAAAGGAGAGGGUGCCUGAGAGCUAAAUUUAAGUUGUAAGGAUCUAAGCAGUAUUUUAAAAAGAAGAUAGAUAACAGUUUCCUGUCUGGGAGAGAUUACUAGACGAGAAAGUUUCGUUCAGGCUUUCAUUAUUAUCUUCAAGAGAAAGACCUCCCCCUACAAAGUCCAAGGAGAGUUAUUUGUAGUUAAGGAGAGGUUUUAAACCCCGUGUUCUUUAAAGUAAACAUUCUCUUCAAAAGCAAGGAAUACUUAAAACCAGUGCUUCUUUUUCUUUUCCUUAGAAGGAAAAGGUUACUUUGAAACACUUCAGUUAGAUAAGAAUGUCUAUGAAGGUCCAAUUUAUAAAAUAAAAAGAAUCUUCUAUUUAGAGAGAGGAUGUGAUGGUGGAGAAUCUACAGUAAUAUUCAUGCAAUACUCAACAGGCAAAAAGAUUGCCAGAUGAUUGUAUGUGUGUUCAAGUUUGAGAAGCACUUAUCUAGUGUGGCAGAUAGACCCUGGGAUGACCCCCCCCCCCAGCCCCCCCAGUAAUUUCCAACUCCUGUUAUUCACCCUGUUGUGCGGUCCCUUCCCCUGGAGUGUGAGUGGGGCCUGUGACUUACUUAACACUGGUAACCUAUGACAAAGGUGAAGAGAUUUUGCAGAUAUAAUUAGUGUGUAGCAUUAGUUGAUUUUGAGUUAAAUGGAAGAAUACCCUGUAGUGGGGCCCAGCUUUAUAAGUGAACAGUCCUUAAGGGAGGGACUGAUUCUUCCCUGAGGGGAAAGGCUCUCCUUGUAGGUUGGGUGAUAUAGGUAGUCAGUUUGGACAAGCCGCACAGCAAGGAAUGUCAGGUGGCCUCUAGGGCCUAAGGGUGGCCUCCAGCCAACAGCCAGCUAAACAGAGGGUGUCUGUCCAGCUGCUGCAAGGAGAUGAUCUCUGCCAACCACCUGCGUGAGCUGGGAAAUGGAUUGUUCCCCAGCUGAGCCGGGGAUGGGAGAGCAGCCCAGCCGAGAUCUCCAUGGCAGCCUUGCAAGGAGACCGUGAGUGCCGAAACUGUAAGGCAUGCCCAGGCUCUUGAUCGACAAAAACCUGAAAAUGUAGCUCAAUGCCACCAGAGAGCACAGAGCUCCUUGCGUUCCAGUUCCUCACCGAAGAGACUGUCUAAGCAUCUCCCGGUUACAGCUUCUAGUGGAAACUCGUGUAUCUUAUCUUCCUUUUACAGACAGCACAGGUCAGAAAUUGCAACGAGGAAGAUAUGCUUAUAGUACGGAGAAGCCAAUUGACCAUCUGGCAGUGGAGGAGGACACAGCAGACACAGCUCCAAAUCCAUGGACAAGAACAGCUGCCUUUGCUCCAGCCCACGGGUGAGCUCUUUUGAGCUCUGACACGCAGGAGAUGACAGAAAUAUGUGGGCUUACAAAUGCCAAUGCCCAAGGCCACCACAGGGAUGCAGAAUUCACCUGCCAGAGCAUUUGACACUUGCGUCAGGAAAAAGCAACAGCUGAGAAAAGCCCUGUGAGAAAUACUUUGUCACGUCUGUGGGAACAGCUGUCCAGAUUGUAAAUCAGUAGGAUGUCUGUUUUGUCCAGCUAAUGCUCCCAAGGGUGGAAGAAAGGGGAUUUACUCAGCUCAUUUAGUCCUUGUGUGGAAAGGAUAGCAUACCAAUGAUGUGGGAGUAAUUUUUCACCCUGAGAUAAAAAGGCCUUUGGUGUCUUGUCCUUAGAAGGUUGGCUAAGGAUGGGAGACCAGUUGUUUCUAGGUGUGUACUUCUGUGUGUGGCCCCCUCCUCACUUUAGAUAGUAAAGAUCACAACCUCUGAGCAUAUCCAAAGAGAUCAGCUCUUUCAUUCAGACCAAUCAUGACAUCAGUAUUCAAAUGUCCUUCCCUUAGAUUUGACUCCUUGAAGCUCUUAGAGAACUUUUCAUUUCAUUCCUGAUGAUGUUCAGGUUCCUUUAGAUGCUAACAGGGAGUAAAUUACAGAUACUGCUGAUAAACAAAACCUUUUGGGUUUAAACAGUAAUGAACUAAAGGAAAACGGGAGGGCAGAGCCAUCUGCCAAGGAAGUAGUUAUUCACAGGUGAAUGUGUGUAGCAAAUGUGUUAUUGAGAGGAAAGUUCUCUGCUCAGGAAGUUAGUACAGCUAACUGGAGACCUGCCUCAGAACAACCCAAGUGGACCUGAAAUUCUGGAUGCACCUAAAGACUCAUGUAGCCUAUUUAAGUAGUAGUUUAACAUUCAAAAAACAGAAUUCAGACUCCCAAAAGGGAAUCUAGGAAAAACUCAAAUAUUUUACUGAUGCUGUUUUGAGAAUAUCCACAGGGGAAUCAGAGUCUACAGUAAUACUGAUUAAAAUACCCAUUUUUUUCACCGAUUCGCUUCUCCAAUACCUACUUAUAGUCUCACGUCCCAGGCUGGAAUAUUCUGUGUCCUUGGCAAUUGUCAUUGUCAUCUAAGCACAAAGGAGAAAUCUGCUUUUUCUUUCGAAGGGGGGUUCCACACUAAACUCACUAUAAGACUUCUGGUAAGAAAUGGGAGGAGUAACUUGGAGUGGGAAGUUUGAUUAGUCGAUGCAAACUAAUGUAUUAGGCCAACAGUUCUCAGAUUUGUCCAGGAGAUACCAUAAAACCUCCAGAUGUUAUGAUACUUUUCAGAGCACCAUGAGAAAACAGACUAAUCAAUUCUGUUAUGUGAACUGAGAACGUACUUUACGUUUAUAAUGUGAAAUCACAAUCCUGAGCAUACCUGUCCAUGAAAUAAAAAGUCACCA